rnacentral:lncRNA from 1 species
AGUUAACCAAGUUGUAAAGGAAACUGAAGAAAUAACUGCAUCCAUCAUCGAAAAGGGUACCGAAUCAGCCAGCCAAGUUAUAUACAUAACCAUAUCUGUGGUCGGUGGUAUCCCAAUCAUUGGUGAUACAGCACAAUCCGUUCUCACCUCACAAACAGACAUGGCAACUCAAUUGAUCAAUGCUACAACUUCUUCAAUCAAGGAGAACGGCAUAGUUGGAACUAUCACAUCAGCUGUAGAACAAGUUGCAAGUGAGGCACAACAAACAACUGCAUCCAUCAUCCAAAAGGGUACCGAAUCAGUCAACCAAGUUUUAGACACAACCAUAUCUGCUGUCGGUGGUAUCCCAAUCAUUGGUGAUGCAGCACAAUCCAUUCUCACCUCACAAACAGACAUGGCAAGUCAAUUGAUCGAUGCCACAACUUCUUCAGUCAAGGAGAAUGGUAUAUAUGGAACUAUCACGUCAGUAACCACGUCAGUAACCCAAAAUGUUAUAAACGGGGCACAAUCAACAACUGAAUCCAUCAC